GAUGAACGCUGGCGGCGUGCCUAAUACAUGCAAGUCGAGCGAACGGACGAGAAGCUUGCUCUUCUGAUGUUAGCGGCGGACGGGUGAGUAACACGUGGAUAACCUACCUAUAAGACUGGGAUAACUUCGGGAAACCGGAGCUAAUACCGGAUAAUAUUUUGAACCGCAUGGUUCAAAAGUGAAAGACGGUCUUGCUGUCACUUAUAGAUGGAUCCGCGCUGCAUUAGCUAGUUGGUAAGGUAACGGCUUACCAAGGCAACGAUGCAUAGCCGACCUGAGAGGGUGAUCGGCCACACUGGAACUGAGACACGGUCCAGACUCCUACGGGAGGCAGCAGUAGGGAAUCUUCCACAAUGGGCGAAAGCCUGACGGAGCAACGCCGCGUGAGUGAUGAAGGUCUUCGGAUCGUAAAACUCUGUUAUUAGGGAAGAACAGAUGUGUAAGAAACUGUGCACAUCUUGACGGUACCUAAUCAGAAAGCCACGGCUAACUACGUG
rnacentral:rRNA from 1 species